rnacentral:rRNA from 1 species
UACGUAGGGUGCAAGCGUUGUCCGGAAUUAUUGGGCGUAAAGAGCUCGUAGGCGGUUUGUCGCGUCUGCUGUGAAAACUCGGGGCUUAACUCCGGGCCUGCAGUGGGUACGGGCAGAUUAGAGUGCGGUAGGGGAGACUGGAAUUCCUGGUGUAGCGGUGAAAUGCGCAGAUAUCAGGAGGAACACCGGUGGCGAAGGCGGGUCUCUGGGCCGUAACUGACGCUGAGGAGCGAAAGCGUGGGGAGCGAACAGG